GAUGAACGCUGGCGGCGUGCUUAACACAUGCAAGUCGAACGGACGAUGAAGAGCUUGCUUUUUAGAGUUAGUGGCGGACGGGUGAGUAACGCGUGGGUAACCUGCCUCAUACAGGGGGAUAGCAGCUGGAAACGGCUGAUAAAACCGCAUAAGCGCACAGCAUCGCAUGAUGCAGUGUGAAAAACUCCGGUGGUAUGAGAUGGACCCGCGUCUGAUUAGCUGGUUGGUGAGGUAACGGCCCACCAAGGCGACGAUCAGUAGCCGGCCUGAGAGGGUGACCGGCCACAUUGGGACUGAGACACGGCCCAAACUCCUACGGGAGGCAGCAGUGGGGAAUAUUGCACAAUGGGGGAAACCCUGAUGCAGCGACGCCGCGUGAAGGAAGAAGUAUCUCGGUAUGUAAACUUCUAUCAGCAGGGAAGAUAAUGACGGUACCUGACUAAGAAG
rnacentral:rRNA from 1 species